AUACAUGAUAUCGUGCACUAGUGAAAAUUUAUUGCAAUCCAUAAUAGAAAAGUCUCGCAACUAUUUGGUUGGGGGCCGUUGACUUCGGAAAACUAGAAACAAAUGUCUUGUUAUUGGAUGCAAAAACAAAGUAAAUUUUGGACUAGUAAUUAUAGAAGAAUUUUUGCAUUACACACCUUUUUGAAUUUAAGAAUACAAAUUCAGUUAACUACAACAACAAUUGAAGCCUUUUUGAACUAAAUCUUGGUUGUUCGAACAAUAUUUUUCAACCUGUCCAUUCAGUUCAUUCCCGGUAAGUUAUUCAUCGGAUACUGCAGGAAUAUUACUUAUUGACUGGUUAAGUAGUAGGCAAUUUGGUGUAUUCGACGCUCCCAUAUAAUUCAAUCUCUUCACCAUGGUUCUCCUUGCACUGGAAGUACAAAACUGUACAUGCCAUGUCCAAUAAAAUCUUCCCCAAAGAAGAAAUGAUCAGCACUAAUAAGUUCCCAUAAAUUGUUGAAUUAAAUGUUCCCUUGUUUCCUUGUAUCCUCCUGCAACCUAGAUAUACACUCAAAAAAAGCAGGUUGUAACAUAUAAUUAGCAAAACACCAUGUAACUUCUUGCCCUUAACAAUUGUAGCAGCUUUUCCUAAUGCUUCCAUUCCAUAACAAUUUUCCUCAAGUGCUGAAACCAUAAUUGCUAAGGUCCAAACCACUGCUAAAUAGAGAUAGUAAACUGAAGCCAAAAUCCCGAGCAAAAGAGCUGCUAAAAUGAUGGCAUAAUUACCAGACAUUAACAAAGGAGCAACCAAUGACAAAAAUAAGAACAAGUAACCUAUUGAAUGGAGUUUUGUAUAGAAUCCUGUUAAAAAUACCCUUUUCCAUGUUUUCACUAUCCUAAAACACAGAUCUUUCAAGAAUAAUGUCUGGUUUUUAUAAGACAUGGCUGAUAGUAAUACCGUAGCAGUGGUAGAGAAAAUUGAGAAAAUGAAGGAAGCAAUAUAGAAAGCCAUUUGCACAGACAGGAAAAGGGUAAAAUCUUCUCUCAGAUGGUCUACUUGGCCAAGAAGCCGGGUGAGAGGCGAGGUAGUAUUCGGUGUAAACGGGCUCUGAUCCGGAUCAAAAGAACUACGAUCUGGCACGAAAGAAUUCUUGAUAAUGACAAACACAUCAAGAAGUAAGGACUUGAGGGAGAAACUGAGCAACAAGAAAGAGAUUGAAUAGAAGACUAAAGAAAGUACAACUAUUAAUGCCACAAGCUUCCCAUUUUUUGGCAAAAGUUUGAUAGAUUCCUUUAUUAUCACCAAGAAACCAAAAAUUUCAUAGACAUCCAUGACACUAUUAAGUGUUUUGUAGCUAUAUGAACAAUCCCCUUUAUGUUUUACUCCGAGAAAUGCUCCAGCUAU
rnacentral:lncRNA from 1 species